rnacentral:lncRNA from 1 species
CUCUCUUCCGCCUGUUUCCCUCUAGGUUCUUCAACUUCUUUUUACUUCUUUCUUUCUUAACUCUUCUGCCUCUUUUCCUCAGUUUUUUUUUUCUGCUUUCUUUCUUAUUCUUUCUCCUCUCAAUUCGUCUCCAUUUUUUUUCCCUCUCUUUUUCUGAUUUUCUGUUACUCUGAUUUUUUUCUUCUUGGUUUUAUGUUUCUCUCUCUCCCUCUAUAUCUCCUUCUUUGCAACUCUGUUUUUCAAUUUCUCUUUUUUUCUCUCUUCAUUUUUUGUUUCUCUGUACAUAUGUGUUCAUCUUGUAGAUUUGGGUGAAGUUCUUGUAGAUCUGGGUGAAGUUCUUGGAGAUUUGGGUUAAGUUCUUGUAGAUCUAGGUAAAGAGCCAAUUCAAAGCAGGUCAGCGUCUCUUAUCUCACCAAUCCCUUGUGAAGAUAUGUAUUUUUUUUUUUUGUCAACAAUCCAUUUUGGUGCUUUUAUAUGGUAUUGAUAUUUUCUAUGAUUUUGGGCUGAUGAUGUUAUUGAGGUCUGAUUCUCUCUUCUUUUUUUUUUCUUUCAAUUUUUUCCUGUUGUGUUUUGACAGACAUGUUCUCUAUUCCUGAUAUCAUUCCUCAGUGGCAAAAUCUUUGAGCGUUGUUGUAAAUUUUAGACGGGAAAGAAGCUCAUUCAUAAUUCAGAAAAAUAAAAUAAAGUUACAACUGACAAUUUGUUGCUCUUUGAAAUAGGUACUGAAGUAGCAUGGAUAAAAAGAAAGACUGAAGAUGUUGCAGAAGAUUGAAUAUGUUCUAUUUCUGUAAUUUGUUUGUAAUUAAAUUUGUUUAUUUUGUUUUGUUUUUAGGUUGUAAGUUUUAUUUUAAGGCUUGAUAUUUGUUGUUUUGUCAAAAAAUUGUAUUAAUGCUUGAUGGAUUCAUUCAAUUUGCAGUGCGUGGAUGUGAAUUGG